rnacentral:rRNA from 1 species
UAGGGAAUCUUCCACAAUGGACGCAAGUCUGAUGGAGCAACGCCGCGUGAGUGAAGAAGGUUUUCGGACCGUAAAGCUCUGUUGUUGGUGAAGAAGGAUAGAGGUAGUAACUGGCCUUUAUUUGACGGUAAUCAACCAGAAAGUCACGGCUAACUACGUGCCAGCAGCCGCGGUAAUACGUAGGUGGCAAGCGUUGUCCGGAUUUAUUGGGCGUAAAGCGAGCGCAGGCGGAAGAAUAAGUCUGAUGUGAAAGCCCUCGGCUUAACCGAGGAAUUGCAUCGGAAACUGUUUUCUUGAGUGCAGAAGAGGAGAGUAGAACUCCAUGUGUAGCGGUGGAAUGCGUAGAUAUAUGGAAGAAUACCAGUGGCGAAGGCGGCUCUCUGGUCUGCAACUGACGCUGAGGCUCGAAAGCAUGGGUAGCGAACAGGAUUAGAUACCCUGGUAGUCCAUGCCGUAAACGAUGAGUGCUAAGUGUUGGGAGGC